GAUGAACGCUGGCGGCGCGCCUAACACAUGCAAAGUCGAACGGUUAAAGCAUCUUCGGAUGUGUAUAAAGUGGCGAACGGCUGAGUAACACGUGGCAACCUGCCCUUUGCACUGGGAUAGCCUCGGGAAACCGAGGUUAAUACCGGAUACUCCAUAUUUGUCGCAUGGGGCGAAUAUGGGGAAAAGCUCCGGGCGGGCAAAAGGGAUGGGGCCCCGCGGGCCUGGUUAGCUAGUUGGUGGGGUAGUGGCCUACCAAGGCAAUGAUGGGUAGCCGGGUUGAGAGACCGACCGGCCAGAUUGGGACUGAGACACGGCCCAGACUCCUACGGGAGGCAGCAGUGGGGAAUCUUGCACAAUGGGCGAAAGCCUGAUGCAGCGACGCCGCGUGCGGGAUGAAGGCCUUCGGGUUGUAAACCGCUUUCAGCAGGGGACGAGGCCGCAAGGUGACGGUACCUGCAGAAGAAAGCCCCGGCUAACUACGUGCCAGCAGCCGCGGUAAAU
rnacentral:rRNA from 1 species